AGUGUGUGGGGCAUCCGUAUUAAAGCUAAACGUCUAGAGUUGUUAGUAAAUGCGUCCCCUUUGUGAAAUAAUUCUCCAUUUACUAGUGGUGUAGGUGCUUUCCAUAUUCUGCACAUCCAUCUUUCUAGUGUAUCCAGUUCUUACACAAAGUUUCUAACCAUUUUGGUGAGUGUCAUUUUGCAAAGAUGGAAGGAAUUUUCCUUAGUCUUCUCGCUGAGGAAAUCCUGAAGAAGGUCGUUUCCCUUGCUGCUGAAGAGAUGAGACAC
rnacentral:lncRNA from 1 species